rnacentral:misc_RNA from 1 species
AAUAGCUGUUUCCUGGUAUCAACUUUCCACAAGUUCUAUAACCAUAUUUUUGUUCAAUCCUUUGAAAUGAGUGAGGCAAAACGCUUUGAGGUAAUUUUAUUGAAGACCAACUCCUGUACCACUAAUAAAAUUACCCAUUCAUCCUCUCUCUCUCGCCCAAUUCCCUUUCUCUCUUUCUUCUCAACCCUUUCUUUCCAUCCUCCUCUUGCGCUCUUAUUUAUUUCUCUUUGUUCUUCAAUUAUAAUCGACCCUAUCUAUCAAACCAAUUCCAUGAUCAAAACCUACCACAAGGAUUUUUAGGAAUUCAGAUUUGGCCUCAGGAGGGAGAUGGUGUUCAUCCGGGAAGCUGUCAAGGACUCUCGGCUUUGCUCGAGGCAACUAUAGUCAGUUUUUGUGCAUUCACAGCAAUGGGUUGCAUAUGCUUCUAAAAUCAAGCAUGGGGAAUAAUAUUGAUCGUCUCCCUCGAAUGAUGCUUCAAUAACGAAGUGGGAAGGGACACUUCUCUCCUCCUCUUCAACACUCUCCACUCACCGUCAAAUCUCGUUAGUAAAUUCAUCAUCAGAUGCUACGCUGCCUAUGGCUUUUAUGUUCAAUUCUUUGGCAUGCUUUAUGCAUAUGAGAGCUUCUGGUAAAUACUGGGAACAUUAUGUGCUCCCUUCUUUUGUCAAGUCAUGCGCCUUGUUGUUGGACCUAUAAUUAGGCGAAUCUAUUCACGGGUACAUUAUUGUGUUAGGUUGGCAAUGCCCUUAAGAACAUGCAUGGCGAGUAUAAGGUGCUUGAUAGAGUGCCUGAAGAAUGUUUAUAGUGAAUUUAGUAGCCAAUUGGUGCACAAGUUUGGGAAACAGAUAAGAGAUAUGGACCAAAAUGUUAGUUGAAUAGAGCUAGAUGUUUGUCUCCUCAAAUUAAUGGAAAAAUCUACCAUAAUCAGAAGUAUGAAAACUAUAUAAAAUUAAGCCUUGGUAAGUUGGUAGUCAUGUGGGCUGUGUAUUGAUAGCUUAUGACCCACUUAACAAUUACCGGAGAUCAUGUACACAAUGCCUAAAGUUACAGUAGUAACAAAGUAAAAUGAAGCCAUUCUCAGAUCACGAAAAUUAAUAACUCAAUUAACUUCCUCUUUCAUAUAGAAUGGCGAGACCCUCUCCUAAGCCUCCUCCGGAAAGGCCUGCAUGCCACAAUACUAAGAUCAACUGCUGCUGCAAGUGCCAUAAAGAUUGCAGCAUCCUCCACGCAUGUCACAUGUCGCAUUGCUAAUUGAACCAAUGGUUUGCUAUGCUUCCCUUCUCCUUGCACUCUACAGCUCAUUACAAAACCACCGGUUGAACCCAACCCUGAAAAGUCUCCACUGCUUUGUGGACUUGGUAUUGGAGUUGCUGCAGAGCGCAACUGCCUGUCAGUGUCUAUGAAAAACUCCCCACCCCUUUCAGCACUGAUGAAGAUCUCCGACAUAAGAACCUCACCCCCCUCCUGGCUUUCAGACAGAAGGUGAAAUCUGCAGCAAAUGGAAUCUCUGAUACCACGCUCACGCCAUGCCUCUAGCUUUCCCCAUGGCUGCCAGCUCUCAGGUCUGCAAACAUCAGGGCGAACAAUCAACCAAGCUCCUGGGUUGGACUUGGCAACCCAAUCACAGCCUGUUGAUGGCACAAACGGAGUUGUUAUGAAGGCUGCCGCAACAGCUGAGCCAAAGAGAUCAUGUAUCUUCACCCUCCAUCCCUUCCGUUCUCUUCGUUCUGUUUCCAGGUCAAUGCCAUCAACAGAGGUUGACCAAUAGGUGCUCAAUGGAUCCACCUGAGGCACCCUGUCUCGACUGAACUUGCAACUGAAUAUAGGCUGCUUGAUGGAGCCUUGAAGUUGAACUAUCUGAGGACUUGAAGUGGUCACAUCUUCAAAUUGGAAAACAUAUCUUGGAUCAGGAUCCAAUUUUACUCUCAAAUGAAGCUCAGCUCCUGGUUUUCUGCUCUCCUGCUUGUUUUUUCCAAUACCUAUCCAGCCAUUGAAAAGAACUGCUGGCUUUCCUUCACCCCAUUCAGGACCCACCUCCAGCUUAAAUGUUCCUAUCUGAUGCCUUUUGAUGCCAACACCACAAUGGGACUCCUUCCUCCCUGUGAAAACAACAAUCUCAAGACAUGCAUGAUGAGUAUGGAAACAGCCAGGUGCCAAUAAUGCUUUCAGAUCUGAUUCUUCAAGAUAGAAGCUUGAGGCAAUGCUGUGAAUAUCAGGUGUUGUUUCAGGUGAAGAUACUAAAGGGACAAAUGUUGUUUGCACUGGGAAACCUCGAAGCCGUAUCUCACAUGAACAUGGAGAAGAGAAUGCAUGGAUUCCUGAUUUUGCAGAAUUCAAUGCUGUCCCAGGAAUCCUUAGCCCAAGGGAGCCAAUUGACAACCUGAUAAAAGCCUGAGGAUCCAUUCUGGUCACAAAUCUUUCCCCAUUGGAUCAAAUGCUAUAUACUUGGCCAGCUUAAGAACCCUGAACAUGUUGCUUUGAAAAAGCUAUGAUUCAGCCGGGAAUCUGCAGAUGGAGACAGAACUAGCAGGAAACAAAAACAUCAUUUGAGGAUAAACCCAGAAACCUCCACAUUCAAAAUCACCAGAAUUUGAGAGAAAAAGCUCCCAUCUUUCCCCCUUACAACCUCAGUUUCUUUGUUUAUCUCUGCAAUAAGUAAAAACCCAACAAGGAAUGUGACUUAUUCUUACUAUUACAAUUAAGUAGGAAUGGAACAAGCAAUAAGGCAACCUCUGGGAUUUCACGUAGACUCUGAACUGAUCACGAGGAAACAUGCUACAUAGAACCCCAUUUCUUUCUCACUUUAUAUAUAUAUAUAUAUCCAAUCCAAAGAGAAAAUGCCAGGCAAUAUAAAAGAAACAGAAAAGAAAAAUGUGAACGUCCUUUUCUUUGGUACUGUUUUUGUUUGCUGCAUUACUUGUCAAGAAAUAGG